rnacentral:rRNA from 1 species
GACGAACGCUGGCGGCGUGCUUAACACAUGCAAGUCGAACGGAAAGGCCCUGCUUUUGUGGGGUGCUCGAGUGGCGAACGGGUGAGUAACACGUGAGUAACCUGCCCUUGACUUUGGGAAAACUUCAGGAAACUGGGGCUAAUACCGGAUAGGAGCUCCUGCUGCGUGGUGGGGGUUGGAGAGUUUCGGCGGUUGGGGAUGGACUCGCGGCUUAUCAGCUUGUUGGUGGGGUAGUGGCUUACCAAGGCUUUGACGGGUAGCCGGCCUGAGAGGGUGACCGGCCACAUUGGGACUGAGAUACGGCCCAGACUCCUACGGGAGGCAGCAGUGGGGAAUAUUGCACAAUGGGCGGAAGCCUGAUGCAGCAACGCCGCGUGCGGGAUGACGGCCUUCGGGUUGUAAACCGCUUUCGCCUGUGACGAAGCGUGAGUGACGGUAAUGGGUAAAGAAGCACCGGCUAACUACGUG